rnacentral:rRNA from 1 species
GACGGAGGGUGCAAGCGUUAUCCGGAUUUACUGGGUUUAAAGGGUGCGCAGGCGGAUAUGUAAGUCAGUGGUGAAAUCUCUGGGCUUAACCCGGAAAUUGCCAUUGAUACUAUAUAUCUUGAAUGCUGUGGAGGUAAGCGGAAUAUGUCAUGUAGCGGUGAAAUGCUUAGAUAUGACAUAGAACACCUAUUGCGAAGGCAGCUUACUACGCAGAUAUUGACGCUCAUGCACGAAAGCGUGGGGAUCAAACAGG